AGCGAACGCUGGCGGCAGGCCUAACACAUGCAAGUCGAACGAACUCUUCGGAGUUAGUGGCGGACGGGUGAGGAACACGUGGGAACGUGCCUUUUGGUUCGGAAUAACUCAGGGAAACUUGUGCUAAUACCGAAUGUGCCCUUCGGGGGAAAGAUUUAUCGCCAUUAGAGCGGCCCGCGUCUGAUUAGCUAGUUGGUGAGGUAACGGCUCACCAAGGCGACGAUCAGUAGCUGGUCUGAGAGGAUGACCAGCCACACUGGGACUGAGACACGGCCCAGACUCCUACGGGAGGCAGCAGUGGGGAAUCUUGCGCAAUGGGCGAAAGCCUGACGCAGCCAUGCCGCGUGAAUGAUGAAGGUCUUAGGAUUGUAAAAUUCUUUCACCGGGGACGAUAAUGACGGUACCCGGAGAAGAAGCCCCGGCUAACUUCGUG
rnacentral:rRNA from 1 species